rnacentral:lncRNA from 1 species
UUGGGUUAUUUUUGAGCUGAUUUUGGGUUUGUUUUUUUUUUUUUGCUGAUUUCGGGGUUUUUUUGAGCUGAUUUUGGUGGGUUUUUUUGAGCUGAUUUUGGGAUUUUUUUGGGGCUGAUUUUGGGGUUUUUUUGAGCUGAUUUGGGUUUUUUUUGGGCUCAUUUUGGGGUUUUUUAGGCUGAUUUUGAGGUUUUUCAGGAGGAUGAUUCCGACCUUUCUCCUCCUCAUUUUUGGAUGUUUUUUUGCCCUAAUUCUGCCCUUUUCACCCUCAUUUUCCUUUUUUUUCUGAUCCUGAUUUCAAUUUUUCCCUUUUUCCCCCAUUUUACCCCCCAAAAUCCCCCAAAAUCCCCCAAAAUUCCCGAAUUUCCCCUCCCAGCUGCUUCGAGGGCGACUUCUCGGGUCCCCGGCACUUCCCCAACUGCUCGGCGGCGCUGGGAGCCCGCGCUGACCACCAGAGUGACCACCAGGGUGACCACCAGGGUGACCACCUGAGUGACCACCAGGGUGACCACCAGAGUGACCACCUGAGUGACCACCUGGGUGACCACCAGGGUGACCACCUGAGUGACCACCAGGGUGACCACCUGAGUGACCACCUGAGUGACCACCUGGGUGACCACCUGGGUGACCACCUGAGUGACCACCAGGGUGACCAGAGUGACCACCUGAGUGACCACCUGGGUGACCAUCAGAGUGACUACUGGAGUGACCACGUGAGUGACCACCCGAGUGACCAGCAGGGUGGGCAUCAGAGUGACCACUUGAAUGACCACCAGGAUGCCCACCAGGCUGCCCACCAGGAUGACCACCAGGAUGACCACCAGGAUGACCACGAUGACCACCAGGAUGACCACGUGAGUGACCACAUGAGUGACCAGCAGGGUGGGCAUCAGAGUGACCACUUGAAUGACCACCAGGAUGUCCAGCAGGAUGACCACCAGAGUGACCACUGGAGUGACCACGUGAGUGACCACCAGGAUGACCAUCAGAGUGACCACCAGGCUGACCAUCAGGAUGACCAUCAGAGUGACCAUCAGAGUGACCACCAGGCUGACCAUCAGGGUGUCCAUCGGGAUGACCACCAGGAUGACCAUCAGGAUGCCCAUCAGGAUGCCCAUCAGGCUGACCAUCAGGAUGACCAUCAGGAUGCCCAUCAGGAUGACCAUCAG